AACGAACGCUGGCGGCAGGCUUAACACAUGCAAGUCGAACGCCCCGCAAGGGGAGUGGCAGACGGGUGAGUACCACGUGGGAACAUGCCCAAAGGUACGGAAUAUUCUCGGGAAACUGAGAGCAAUACCGUAUGUGCCCGAAAGGGGAAAGAUUUAUCGCCUUUGGAUUGGCCCGCGUCGGAUUAGCUAGUUGGUGGGGUAAAAGCCUACCAAGGCGACGAUCCGUAGCUGGUCUGAGAGGACGACCAGCCACACUGGGACUGAGACACGGCCCAGACUCCUACGGGAGGCAGCAGUGGGGAAUCUUGGACAAUGGGCGCAAGCCUGAUCCAGCCAUGCCGCGUGGAUGAUGAAGGCCCUAGGGUUGUAAAAUCCUUUCGUGGGGGACGAUAAUGACGGUACCCAAAGAAGAAGCUCCGGCUAACUUCGUG
rnacentral:rRNA from 1 species